GAUGAACGCUAGCGGGAGGCUUAACACAUGCAAGUCGAGGGGCAGCACGAGGUAGCAAUACUUUGGUGGCGACCGGCGCACGGGUGAGUAACACGUAUGCAACCUACCCUGUACAGGGGGAUAACCCGGAGAAAUUCGGACUAAUACCCCAUAAAGAUAUUUAGAGGCAUCUUUGAAUAUUUAAAGUUCCGGCGGUACGGGAUGGGCAUGCGUAACAUUAGCUAGUUGGUAAGGUAACGGCUUACCAAGGCAACGAUGUUUAGGGGUCCUGAGAGGGUGAUCCCCCACACUGGUACUGAGACACGGACCAGACUCCUACGGGAGGCAGCAGUGAGGAAUAUUGGUCAAUGGGCGCAAGCCUGAACCAGCCAUCCCGCGUGAAGGAAGAAUGCGCUAUGCGUUGUAAACUUCUUUUCCAGGGGAAUAAAAUUUUGUACGUGUACGGAAUUGAAGGUACCCUGGGAAUAAGCAUCGGCUAACUACGUGCCAGCCGCCGCUGUAAAAC
rnacentral:rRNA from 1 species